rnacentral:rRNA from 1 species
GCCUAAAGCGUCCGUAGCCGGCUCUGUCAGUUUUCGGUUAAAUCCAUAUGCUCAACAUAUGGGCCGCCGGGAAUACUACAAAGUUAGGGAGUGGGAGAGGUAGACGGUACUCCGUAGGAAGGGGUAAAAUCCUUUGAUCUAUGGAUGACCACCAGUGGCGAAGGCGGUCUACCAGAACACGUUCGACGGUGAGGGAUGAAAGCUGGGGGAGCAAACCGGAUUAGAUACCCGGGUAGUCCCAGCUGUAAACUAUGCAAACUCAGUGAUGCAUUGGCUUGUGGCCAGUGCAGUGCCGCAGAGAAGUCGUUAAGUUUGCCGCCUGGGAAGUACGUACGCAAGUAUGAAACUUAAAGGAAUUGGCGGGGGAGCACCACAAGGGGUGAAGCCUGCGGUUCAAUUGGAGUCAACGCCAGAAAUCUUACCCGAGGAGACAGCAGAAUGAAGGUCAAGCUGGAGACUUUACCAGACAAGCUGAGAAGUGGUGCAUGGCCGUCGCCAGCUCGUGCCGUGAGAUGUCCUGUUAAGUCAGGUAACGAGCGAGAUCCCUGCCUCUAGUUGCCACCAUUACUCUCAGGAGUAGUGGGGCGAAUUAGAGGGACCGCCACAGUUAAUGUGGAGGAAGGAAGGGGCCACGGCAGGUCAGUAUGCCCCGAA